CGAGGACGAACGCUGGCGGUGUGCUUCACACAUGCAAGUCGAACGAGGUAGCAAUACCUAGUGGCGGACGGGUGAGUAACGCGUGGGAAUCUGCCUUUAGAUGGGGGAUAACGGGUCGAAAGACUCGCUAAUACCGCAUAUGACGAAAGUUGAAAGGAGUAAUCCGUCUAAAGAUGAGCCCGCGUCCGAUUAGCUAGUUGGUAGAGUAAAAGCCUACCAAGGCGACGAUCGGUAGCUGGUCUGAGAGGAUGAUCAGCCACAAUGGGACUGAGACACGGCCCAUACUCCUACGGGAGGCAGCAGUGGGGAAUUUUACGCAAUGGGCGAAAGCCUGACGUAGCGACACCGCGUGAGCGAAGAAGCCCCUUGGGGUGUAAAGCUCUGUCAGCUGGAACGAAAAAAUGACGGUACCAGCAGAGGAAGCAUCGGCUAACUACGUG
rnacentral:rRNA from 1 species